AAAAAAAUUAAAUAAAAAUAAUUCCGUGCUGCAAUGUCAAGGGUUAGGGUUAAAGAUGACAAGGAUGGAUCAUCAGUUAAACAAAGGUUUUGUGUCUCACCAAAAAAUAUUGAAUCCUAAUCCCCCCCCAUAUGGUAAGUAGGGGGUGAACUCCCCUCUUGUUCUGUCUAUGCCUUUAAUGGAUUAAAACUGGACAUGACUGUAGUUUAAAUUGUAUUGAAUAAUUUCAAAUCUAUAUUGAAAGUUCACUUUUAAUCUGAUCGAACCUAAGCUAUUUCACGUGUGAGUUGUAAGUGUAAACAUACCAUUAAAGACCUAGGCCAGACACAAAGCAAUUGUUGGUCUUGACUCGCCUAGCACUGUAGCAGAACAGACUCGACUACAGAACCAGGCCUCAGUCCAGCACAAUUUGAAACCAUGGAUUAGCAACGAAACAUUUGUUUAAAAAAAGUUUGACCGUAAUUAGGCUUUAUCAUAUUGUUGAAUUUUAAGAUUGUGAACAUUCAGUCCUGUCGUUCUGAUCAUUUAGAAUCACUUGACAAUCUCUUUUUUCUUAAAGGAAUCAUUGUUGGUAUACUUGCUACAGUCCUAGUUACUGUUGCUGCUGCUGUGCAGUCUAUUGCCGGUGUUUCAAAAACAGGAAAGGGCUCAGCUCACCGCUACCACCCCUGCACUGACUCGGGAGGGGUGAAGAUGAACACACGCUGUCCUCCGAAGCGUGUGCCGUCAGCCGCCCGCUUCUUUACACUCUGCAGACUCACCGUGCAGCCGCCUACAGCGUCGGAGGACAACGCAGCUCUGGGCAGCUUACAGGCAAGCCCGCAGGCGCCCGGCCAGACUACAGGGGUCGCUGGUACGCGAUGAGCCGAGGAGACCCUGGCCGACCUAACCCUCCCUCCCCCCGGAUGACGCUCGGCCAAUUGAGCACCGCCCCCUGGGAGCUCCCGUCCACGGUUGGCUGUGGAAUAGCCUGGACUCGAACCGGCGACGUCCAGGCUAUAGCGAGCAUCCUGCACUCUAGCGAGUGCUUUUACUGGAUGCGCCACUCGGGAGCCCAGGAAAUCCUCUUCUCCUCCUCGUACUGAUGCUGUUUAUUAAAUUAAUGCCGUUCAUCUGAAAAGGAUUGUCUACAGUGGUGUGCAUCAAUACAGGCACUAUGAUCUGAUUUUAUUUUUAUUUCACUGAACAUUCAGUUGUGUGCACCACUCGCUUUCAGCAAUACAGUAGGGGAGGGGAGGGAGUUUGAAAUGAAUAGUUUAGUAGCUCUUGCAUUUGACAGCAUCUAAAAAUUGCAAAAUCUCUUACUGUUGCACAAUCUUUA